rnacentral:lncRNA from 1 species
AUCAGAACAUUAAAUACACAGCACCGCAGCCUGGGCCCGGCCCGGCCUCUGGCGUGUGGCGCGAGGCCCUCCGCCUCGCCAGCGGGCCCGGCCCUGGUUCCGCGCUCCCGGGAGUGCCGGGCCCCCGCGCAGCCGGCGCAGCUCGGGUCACCCCUGGUGGGGGUUUCUCCGCUCCUGCCUCCCCCGCCGACGCCGUCCCAGGAGGAGGGCGGAGAGGCGCGGCCGGGCUUCCUCGCCGGGACCCCGCGGGCCUCUGCGCGGAGGGCGGAGCGGGAGGGGGGCCCGGCGAAGGCGGGAGAGGGCGAGCCGGAGGGGAGCACGGGGAGGCCGGGAAGGGCGUCACUGCUCGCUUUCCGCUUCAGGAGCGGGCGGCAGAGGCGGCGGGGCGGAGCGGGCGGCGGCGACGGGGUUCGCAGCGGUCCUCGCCUCCACUCCUCCGUGGGCCGCGCGGAGGGAGCGCGGGCGCGGCCGGCUGCACCCACCCGGGCCGGAGGGCAGGGCGCGGGGGGGGGUGCUGCGCGGGGGGCUCCGCGGGCUGGGCGGCCGCGCGUCUCCCGGACACUAGGGCUCCGGCUGCACCCACCCGGGCCGGAGGGCAGGGCGCGGGGGGGGGGGGCGCGGGGGGGCUCCGCGGGCUGGGCGGCCGCGCGUCUCCCGGACACUAGGGCUCCGGCUGCACCCACCCGGGCCGGAGGGCAGGGCGCGGGGUGGGGGGGGGCGCGGGGGGGCUCCGCGGGCUGGGCGGCCGCGCGUCUCCCGGACACUAGGGCUCCGGCUGCACCCACCCGGGCCGGAGGGCAGGGCGCGGGGGGGGGGCGCGGGGGGGCUCCGCGGGCUGGGCGGCCGCGCGUCUCCCGGACACUAGGGCUCCGGCUGCACCCACCCGGGCCGGAGGGCAGGGCGCGGGGGGCUCCGCGGGCUGGGCGGCCGCGCGUCUCCCGGACACUAGGGCUCCGGCUGCACCCACCCGGGCCGGAGGGCAGGGCGCGGGGGGGGGGGUGCUGCGCGGGGGGCUCCGCGGGCUGGGCGGCCGCGCGUCUCCCGGACACUAGGGCUCCGGCUGCACCCACCCAGGCCGGAGGGCAGGGCGCGGGGGGGGGGGCGGGCGGGGGGCUCCGCGGGCUGGGCGGCCGCGCGUCUCCCGGACACUAGGGCUCCGGCUGCACCCACCCAGGCCGGAGGGCAGGGCGCGGGGGGGGGGUGCUGCGCGGGGGGGCUCCGCGGGCUGGGCGGCCGCGCGUCUCCCGGACACUAGGGCUCCGGCUGCACCCACCCGGGCCGGAGGGCAGGGCGCGGGGGGGGGGGCGCGGGGGGGGCUCCGCGGGCUGGGCGGCCGCGCGUCUCCAGGACACUAGGGCUCCGGCUGCACCCACCCGGGCCGGAGGGCAGGGCGGGGGGGGGGGCGCGGGGGGGCUCCGCGGGCUGGGCGGCCGCGCGUCUCCCGGACACUAGGGCUCCGGCUGCACCCACCCGGGCCGGAGGGCAGGGCGCGGGGUGGGGGGGGGCGCGGGGGGGCUCCGCGGGCUGGGCGGCCGCGCGUCUCCCGGACACUUGGGUUCCGGCUGCACCCACCCGGGCCGGAGGGCAGGGCGCGGGGGGCGGGCGCUGCGCGGGGGGCUCCGCGGGCUGGGGCGGCCGCGCGUCUCCCGGACACUUGGGCUCCGGCUGCACCACCCGGGCCGGAGGGCGGGGCGCGGGGGGGGGCUGCGCUGGGGUGCUCCGCGGGCUGGGCUGCCGCGCGUCUCCCGGACACUAGGGCUCCGGCUGCACCCACCCGGGUCGGAGGGCAGGGCGCGGGGGCGGGGGGCGCUGCGCGGGGGGCUCCGCGGGCUGGGCGGCCGCGCGUCUCCCGGACUCUAGGGCUCCGGCUGCCAUCGGGCCGCGGCCGGGACGGAGCUCCCUGCGCUCCCCCGGGGGCCUCGGCGGCGCGGCCCCGCAGCUCCACGCACGCGGCGAUGCGGGCGCGGAGGGGCGGGCGGGCGGGGGCGCGAGGCUGCCGCCAGCCGCCCGGAGCCGCUGUCCACUGCUGAAGCGCCGGCCGCCGGCGCCGCGCUGCCCGCCUGGAGCGACUCU